rnacentral:lncRNA from 1 species
GUGAGUAAGGGCUCUGGUUGGACAAUGAUUUCCGAAUUGUAUGCACUGUCUCCAUAAAUCCCGCUAAAGUGAAUCACCCUGUGACUAUGAGACCUAACAUGAGGACAGUUCCUUCUAAAUUGCCACUGCUUGAUUUGUUGUUGAUAACGUUUAGCUACACAUCUUAAAACACUGUGCUUUGAUUCUGUGACCAUAUACAAUAUUUAUAUAGUGUGAAAGUGAAAACCAAGUCAAGAUUCAUCCUUUGGGGUCUGCAACCCUAUAGGUGAAUCAACAAUAUGAACUAACCAGUAUCCCCUAGAGCUGUGUCUCUAGCUGCAUAUGUAGCAGAAGAUGGCCUAGUCAGCCAUCAUUGGGAAAAGAGGCCCCUUGGUCUUGCAAACUUUAUAUGCCUCAGUACAGGGGAACACCAGGGCCAAGAAAUGAGAGUGGGUGGGUAGGGGAGUGUGGUAGGAGGUAUGGGGGACUUUUGGGAUAGCAUUUGAAAUGUAAAUGAAGAAAAUACCUAAGGAAAAGAAAAAAAAGCCACUUGAACAGGUAGCAAGGUGACAAUUGCUUACAAGAAAAA